UACGUAGGUGGCAAGCGUUGUCCGGAUUUAUUGGGUUUAAAGGGUGCGUAGGCGGCUUUGUAAGUCAGUGGUGAAAUAUGGCAGCUCAACUGUCAGGGUGCCAUUGAUACUGCGGAGCUUGAGUACAGAUGAGGUAGGCGGAAUUGACGGUGUAGCGGUGAAAUGCUUAGAUAUCGUCAAGAACACCGAUAGCGAAGGCAGCUUACUGGGCUGUAACUGACGCUGAGGCACGAAAGUGUGGGGAGCAAACGGG
rnacentral:rRNA from 1 species